GAUGAAGAACGCAGCGAAAUGCGAUACGUAAUGUGAAUUGCAGAAUUCAGUGAAUCAUCGAAUCUUUGAACGCACAUUGCGCCCCCUGGCAUUCCGGGGGGCAUGCCUGUCCGAGCGUCAUUUCUGCCCUCCAGCCCGGCUGGGUGUUGGGCGCUGUCCCCCCGGGGACACGCCCCAAAGGCAGUGGCGGCGCCGCGUCGGGUCCUCGAGCGUAUGGGGCUUUGUCACCCGCUCGGGACGGACUCGUCGGCGCUGGUCUUCCUCCAGGCGACCCUUCGGGGCUCGUCUUCCUUCGGUUGACCUCGGAUCAGGUAGGGUUACCCGCUGAACUUAAGCAUAUCAAAAGCGGAGGA
rnacentral:misc_RNA from 1 species